rnacentral:rRNA from 1 species
UACGUAGGUGGCAAGCGUUGUUCGGAAUUAUUGGGCGUAAAGGGCGCGUAGGCGGUUUGUUAAGUCGGUCGUGAAAGCCCGGGGCUCAACCCCGGAGGGUCGACCGAUACUGGCAGACUAGAGUACAGAAGAGGUAACUGGAAUUCCCGGUGUAGCGGUGAAAUGCGUAGAUAUCAGGAGGAACACCAAUUGCGAAGGCAGCUCGCUGGGACGUUACUGACGCUGAGACGCGAAAGCGUGGGGAGCAAACAGG